AGCGAACGCUGGCGGCAGGCUUAACACAUGCAAGUCGAGCGGGCCCUUCGGGGUCAGCGGCAGACGCGUGAGUAACACGUGGGAACGUACCCUUUGGUUCGGAAUAACGCUGGGAAACUAGCGCUAAUACCGGAUACCCCCUUUUGGGGAAAGGCUUGCUGCCGAAGGAUCGGCCCGCGUCUGAUUAGCUAGUUGGUGGGGUAAUGGCCUACCAAGGCGACGAUCAGUAGCUGGUCUGAGAGGAUGAUCACCCACACUGGGACUGAGACACGGCCCACACUCCUACGGGAGGCAGCAGUGGGGAAUAUUGGACAAUGGGCGCAAGCCUGAUCCAGCCAUGCCGCGUGAGUGAUGAAGGCCUUAGGGUUGUAAAGCUCUUUUGUCCGGGACGAUAAUGACGGUACCGGAAGAAUAACCCCCGGCUUACUUCGUGCCAGCAGCCGCGGUAAUACGAAGGGGGCUAGCGUUGCUCGGAAUCACUG
rnacentral:rRNA from 1 species